AUCAAUUCCGCCCUUGUCUAAUGAUUAACUUUUAUUUUCGUUAAGUAGUCUGUCAGUAGGUAUGACAAAAUGUGUUUGUCGACUGCGUUGACCCUCCUUUCUCAUUUAAAUUGUUGCUAUAGUUACUAAUUUUCCUCUGUUACGAAAAUACUCAAAUCGUCAUUCUCACUUGUCCAGCGUAAGAAAUAGCGUAUAAAAAUGCUAGGGGGGAUGUUAGGGAAAAAAACCACUGUCCACGGUAAUUAAUCAACCAUUAUUAGGUAUUUCACUUUAAAUCUAGCCACCGUAUAUAAUUCGUAAUUUUGAUAAGAAAGAAGAAAUUGUAAAAACACAUUUUGUUUUGUUGGUUGGAGAUGCUCAGUUAUUAUAUUAGACGUUGUAACGAGAGCGUAUAGAUUUAAAUUAAUUGAUUGAUUUAAACUUUUUUGAUUUUCCCGCAGAUAUAAGUAGAGUAGAAUUUUUAAUCUGUAAAAAAGUUGGUUUCCCAAACAAAUGUUUCCCAUGGUAAUAUCAAGAAUUUGAUCUUGAUGAUUGUAGGCAAUGUAAUGUGCUUCAAUGAGCUUGUGUAUAGUCUUACAUUAAUGAGCCUGAGAAAAGUUCGUAGCGUAAAAAAUGCUGAGCGAAUGGUUUUUUGAAUUGCGGAGUUUUGGAAAACCUCAGGAUUGGUUGAAAAGAAAACGUUAACCAAUAGGGAACAUAGAAAAGCGACCGGCCUAUGGAAACGAAUUGCGAUCGAUUAAUUUGGAUAAACGACUACAGUUGCCUCGCCUCGAUGCGGUGGACACCCAGCCUUAAACGUCAAGAAAAUGAAUAUGGAUGGUAAUGGCAUAAUACUCAAUUCCUUAAAGACUAAAGUAUGGAUAUUUAACACCUUACCAUCAUGCAAAUCCUUUUUUUCUUUGGAAUUAAAACUUUAUAUGCUUUAAAUGAAUUACCCCAAAAACCUAUUUCUAAUGACCUAUAGUUUCUAAAAAUUGGUUUCUUUUUGCAGUAGAGUAGGAUUUGAGUUCGACAGUGUAGCUUAAAGAUUUUUUUAGCAGGACAGGUAAAGGAUUCGGAAUUAUUAUGAGGCGACUAUUUAUUUUUUUUUAUUUAUUAUCCCCCUCUUGUUCUGGGCCCUCAACAGGCUUGCGCCCAAUUACAGAGUAACCCGCAUAAUGCUUUUUUAGAGGUGCCUCUGCAGAUUAUUAUUAUUAUGACUCAAUAAGUAUGUAAUACCCAGUGAAUGGAACAUUAACAGCAUUCGCGCUCUGAAAGCGGCCACGUAGGUACGUUAGUAGCGUAGCAUACAAUUAUUGCAAUUUAGAUAAAACAAUUAGCACUAGAAUUUGUUAUUUUAAAAUUGGGUUGGUCCUAUACUUAAGGGCUAAGAAAAUUAGAAAUGUGAGGGCCAAUAUUCUUCGCCGAAAAGUAGCCACGUGGUAAUAGAGAAAUGACACUUCGGCUUCAUCGGCGACAUCAUAAAACCUGCCAUUGGUAAAUGGCCAAUUGAAUAAUCGAGCACUCUGAUUUACUCAUGCAUGCUACCAAGGUGAUAUUCAGCGAAAUCAAGGAUCUAAAACCACUACGUGAAGUCUUCCAGAGGGCAAACCUGAAGAAAUUAAAAACGAGAUGUUAAAAGCUCCAUCCGCCUGAGUUCAGCGACUUGCUACGUUUUUCCAUCAAUUAAAAGGAUAUUCGAGGAUGUAAGCAGAGCUUUCUAGUCCGUCUCUCGACUUCUUAUGUGAUUCCUAAUUCAAAAUGGAGCUGAUCAAUUGAUCUGGAACAGAAUACACGAAUGGGUUAAAUGCUUCCACUUCCAUUGCUUUUGAUGGAGUUUUGAGGGUCAAGUCACUUCGAUUGUAAGCUUCUGGAAAUAAAGUGGUGACCCAUCGAGUGAUCACGAUGCCCCCUAUGGAGUCGAUCAACGCCAUUUCGGUUGCCUAAAACUUGUGUAAAUCAACAAGUUCGAACGAAUGGCUUUUUCUUCGUGUGGUAUUAGCUUAACAACAUCAAGAGUCAUCCUCUCCUAUGUGGAAGGUUACAGCGAAAGCGUCAGUCAGGAAACCGCCUCCAUUUGUAGAAAACUGCUCAACUUAAAUAAUACAGCCACUUUCAUCUUACCUCCUCACUCCUCAGUACAAGGGCUGACUGCAUUGGGGGAUACACAAUAUCAGGUUAGCAAAGUGCAAGGCGAUAGGGAAUACGAAAUGUGUAAAAGAUCCCAUAAGGCCAUAAAAUAUUGAGUAUCAAGUAUCCAAGUAUCCAGUAUCAGACGCUUAUAAGAGAUUUUAAGAGAGAUUUGAAAAAAGUGAUUCAAAAAAGUUUACAAGUGAUAGAAUUCAAAAAAGUGAUUAAAAAAUGAUUCA